AACGAACGCUGGCGGCAUGCCUAACACAUGCAAGUCGAACGAGACCUUCGGGUCUAGUGGCGCACGGGUGCGUAACGCGUGGGAACCUGCCUUUAGGUUCGGAAUAACUCAGAGAAAUUUGAGCUAAUACCGGAUGAUGUCUUCGGACCAAAGAUUUAUCGCCUUUAGAUGGGCCCGCGUUGGAUUAGCUAGUUGGUGGGGUAAAGGCCUACCAAGGCGACGAUCCAUAGCUGGUCUGAGAGGAUGAUCAGCCACACUGGGACUGAGACACGGCCCACACUCCUACGGGAAGCAGCAGUGGGGAAUAUUGGACAAUGGGCGAAAGCCUGAUCCAGCAAUGCCGCGUGAGUGAUGAAGGCCUUAGGGUUGUAAAGCUCUUUUACCCGAGAUGAUAAUGACAGUAUCGGGAGAAUAAGCUCCGGCUAACUCCGUG
rnacentral:rRNA from 1 species